UACGUAGGGUGCGAGCGUUAAUCGGAAUUACUGGGCGUAAAGCGUGCGCAGGCGGUUUUGUAAGCCAGAUGUGAAAUCCCCGGGCUUAACCUGGGAAUGGCAUUUGGGACUGCAAGGCUCGAGUGCGGCAGAGGAGACUGGAAUUUACGGUGUAGCGGUGAAAUGCGUAGAUAUCGUAAGGAAGACCAGUGGCGAAGGCGGGUCUCUGGACAGUUCCUGACGCUGAGGCACGAAGGUCAGGGGAGCAAACGGG
rnacentral:rRNA from 1 species